UACCCAAUUUCAAAUAUCUCUGCCUGGACAAAUGGAUAAAAACAUCAGUCCUGACGAACAACGUAGUAUUGAUAAUCAAGAAAAAGGAAAGAUUGAUGCAGUUGACAAGAGUUGGUAUUCCUCUAAACCUCUUACGGUGCAAAAACUGUCAAGCUUUUGGACAUACAAAAAACUUCUGUGGUAAACCAUCGAGGUGUGUGAAAUAUGGAGGCAAACAUUCUACUAUUGAAUGCCGAAAAGCUGAAAAAGACCCUGCUAAAUGUUGCAACAGCGGCGAUUCUCAUCCUGCACGCUACCGUGGUUGUGUCGUCGCAAAAGAACUGCAAAAACUUAGAGAUAAAAAGAAUGGUAAUUCAGUUGAGAAGAAUGCCAAUGCUUCGACGAACAAACCCGUUGUGAACACAGGAGAAGUAAAAUCCCUUCCUUCCGGUUCUAAAGUUUCAUUUGCGCAAAUAGCUAAACAAGACCAUACAAAAACAAUUCAAAAAAGUAGUCUGUUAUCCCAAAUCUUGGAUAAACUAAAUGAGCAAGAGAAACUAUUUAAGUCCUUUAAUCAGCGGCUCAACGCUCUUGAGUACCAUCUACAAUUUAUUGAUGAACAGUAACUCUUUGAGAAUAAUGCUAUGGAACGCUAAUGGUCUUUCCAAAAGAAAAAAUGAAUUAGAAGUUAUUCUAUACGCAAGAAAUAUUGAUAUAUCUCUAUUACCUGAAAUUUUUAAAAUUUAAAAAUUAUGAAUUAUAUCAUACACCACACCCGGCAAACGCAGGGAGGGAGCGCUAUAAUUAUCAAAAGCAAUAUUGAAUACUGUGAGGAAGAUCCGAAUAAGAUGGAAGAAAGCUACAACAAUUUCAGUUAAAUUGCACAAUCACACAUUGUAUCUUAUUGCUCUGUAUAGUUCACCUAAACAUAAUAUAAAAAUAGAAACGUAUAUGAAUUAAAAAAAAAUAUGAUGGAAGGUAUAUCAUUGUUGUAAUAAACACACUAAUUGGUAUAAAUUUAAAAGUAUAUUGAAUAAAGUCGACGCAAAGCUUAAGCACUGGUAUCGAGUUGGACUGCUAAGUUGAAGAUUUCACAAAAAUAAUUCAAAACGCUGCGUGGAAGAGUACACCAAAUACCCGUGUGAAUCUAAGUGGUACCAAAUACCCAAAACACAUCUUAGAAAUUAUCCAUAAAAAGCGCAAGCUUCGACGGAGAUGGCAGCAAACCAGAUCCUCUGUUCUCAAAACUGAGCUUAAUAAAUGUACAGCGAAACUAAGAGCACAAAUUAAAGAGUUUUUUCUUCAAAACUUAUCUGACUAAACUCACUCUGGAAAGCUGCAAGAAAUAUUAAUAAACAAAUAAAACAUGGGGUCGGCUUUAGUAUACUAUCCCUGGAUUUUGGGAAUAAAAUGGGUAUGGUCGGAUAGAGGAGAUUCUCCAGAUCACGAAUAUAUAUGGUUAUAGCCGCAGGAAGCUUAUAGUUUUCGAGUUAUUCGCGUUUUAAGUUGAAAAUUUGCAAUAUUUUAAUUACAUAUUUUCGAUAUAUAAAAUUAAUUUUGCACUUAUAUUUUUCACUUUUAUAUACAUUAACACAUCACUUAUUCAUUUGCACACAUUUAUUUUAUAUAAUAUAGUGCAAAAAUAACUUUUAAUAAACAUUUAAAUUAUUGUUGAACUUGAUUAUUUAAGAAUAACAAAUGAAUUACAAACUGUCAUAUAAUCAGUGCAGGCCCGUAGCCAGCUUUUCAUUUCGGAGGGGGCUGAAGUAAAAACAUAUAUAAACUUUGAAUUUUCUGUUUAUUAAAAAAAACAAUAUAAAUUCAUAUACGUAUUACUUAAAUUAUUUGGUAGUUGUAACUUAAAUAAGUAAUAUUUUUCUUUUCUUCUUGUUUGCCAUAUCAUUAAUUACUUCAUCUGGAUCUAUUUUAAUAUCCCAGUGCACUGCAAUAACAGCAAGUGCACUCAGCCGCUCAUUGCCCAUCACACUGGGUGGUAAAGUUUUUAUUCUUUUUAAGGUUGAAGAAGUUCUUUCGAAGGAAGCGGUCCUCACUGAAAGAGUUGGUAAAAUUGUAAGCAGGUAGUGAAUAUUUUUAAAAUACGUUGCAUCGCAAUGUUGCAGUAAUUUCAACACUUCUAUGGUUGGAUCUAUUGUUGAUAAGCUGGCACACCACAAUCGAUACUCUGAUUUUAAUGCUGUCAUUGAUAUUUGCUCCUCGAAGUAAAUAGUCAAAUUUUUUAAUUCUUCGGCAUUAUCAAUUGCAGCAAAACCUGGGAGUAGAAUUUGAAAUGACGAGAGUAUAUCCUCAUUCACUAAUAAACGUUCUGUCACGUUUUGAAUCAGAGCAUCAACGCAUGGAAUAAAUAUUGUAACUCUGAAGUGGCUUUCAGGGGUUGUGCAAGGUGGAUUAGCACUAGUAGUUUGACGCGAAGUCACUCUAGGCACUACAAGAUCUAUGUCAUAAAGAUCUUUAGACAUUUGUGAUGCUGUUUGGAAAAUAUCGUUGAAAAAACCAUCCGCUGUUUCUCUUAUCUGGUGCAGAGUUCUUAUUAAUUCUUUGGCUCGGUUCAUUGCUGAUACAAAAUCCAUAGAUUUUUCUUGGAGUUACACAGACAGUGGCAGCGUUAAGCUGAACAAUUGCUCACAGACGAAUAGACUAUGCAAAAAAUCGCUUUUCUCUACCGCUGCUAAGAAGGCUGAUGCUUUAGACGAAAUGGACCAUGUCUUACUCGAAAUUAUUUCCAAACUUAGUACAAUGAAUUUGAAAAGCUCCACAAAGCUUAUAAUGCUUUCAUGCCUUUCUAUAAACCUUGUUUCACAAAGGCGAACAAGUCGUCUUUUUUUGCUUUCUGGUGCGUGCUUCUGUAUAACGUCCUGGAAAGUUGUGUUUGCAUUUGAAUGGUUUCUAAAUAAAUUUGCUAUUUCACUGACAAUACCAAGGCAGUUCCGUAUUGAAGGUAAUGACAUAGUAUUAGAAAGCGCAAGGUUUAAUCGGUGACUAGCGCAAUGAACAUAUCGUGCUUUUGGAUACAGUUGUCUUAUCCUGGUUUGCACUCCACUUAAAUGCCCUGAUAUGUUUGCUGCUCCGUCAUAUCCCUGGCCAACCAACUUCGCCAUAUCAAGAUGGAGAUCUGUACAACGCUUAAGUAUGACUUUUGAUAAGUUUUCAGUCACCGUCUAGUGUAGUUGCGUACGACUGUUAUAGGUUUGAGCUGAGUUGUGUAUAAGAGUUUCAAAAGAUUCAGUCAGUGAUAAAUCUUUUUUAUUUGCGAUUUAUUUAAAAAAUUUCCUUAUUUCGGGGGGGGGGGGGGGGGGGUUUCAGCCCACAAGCCCCCACGCAAAAAGGAGUUCUACGCACAGAAGUAGCAAUGUCAUAGAGGGUAUAACAACCACUCUAACAUCAAUGCGAUCUAACGGAUAUAAGUACUGCUACUUUUAAAGCAAAGUAUCGUUGCUUUUAUUUGUCAUUUUUAUAAUUAUUUCGUGUUUGGAAGAUUAAGCUGUGUGGACAUAUAAUUAUAUUAAUUUUUAUUAAAAUUACGGAAAUAUUUUUGAAAAAAAUGGAAAAUAAUUCAUCAGGUAUGGCAAAUUAAAUAUUGAAAAGAAUAUUUAAAUCAUGUUUCUAAUACUUUGUUAUAAUUAUACUUAUGUAGAUCUAAAAGAAGAAGCGACUAUAAAUGUUCGCAAAUCAAACAAAUUGAGCGUGUCAGAGGUAAAGAGAAUGUGGAAUAUUUCAAAAAUAUUCAACACAUUUCAAACAAAGGAGAGCUGCAUAUUAUUUUGCGAAGAGGAUGGUCUCAUUGCCAGAGGAAGAAUUUGCAGGGUGCAUAGACUGCCGAUGGUGCUCUCCAUGACGGGAAAUAGCACCGUCGGUACGUUUAGAUGCCGAAGAGGAUCUUGCCGAAUGCGUUCCGGAAUAUCUCGAUCCACGGGCACCUGGCUGGAAAAUGUUAGAAUACCAUUGCCACAAGUUUUUUACUUAAUGUUUUGCUACGCAUCGCACUGGUCGCAUGACGUAGUAAGGAAAAACAGUAUUGUCAGGGAAUCUAUUUUAUCUAGCGCUACCAUAUGUGACUGGUAUAAUUACUGUCGCGAAGCGGUAGUUUUAUAUCAAGUGGAAAAUCAGGAGGCGGUAGGUAAAAUAGGUGGCCCUGGCAAAAAGGUCCAAAUUGAUGAAAGCAAAUUCGGGAAGAGGAAAUUCAAUAAAGGCAGGAGUGCGGAAGGUCACUGGGUGUUGGGGAUGAUUGAGGAUGGGAGCGACGACCUGCGGCUCGAAGUAUGCCCAGAUAAUGUUAGGUCUGCGGAGGUGCUCAUACCCCUGAUUAAGAAGCAUGUUGCGGCAGGAACUACAAUAAGCACAGAUUGCUGGAAGGCGUACGAUGGUUUGGCGAAUCACGGGUAUGAGCACCGAAAAGUGAAUCACAGCGAUCCGGACAAUCCAUUUGUGGCUGCAGAUGGAACGCAUACGCAGCGAAUAGAGUCCCAGUGGCGUGUGAUUAAAAGGUUUUUUGCGAGGGACAACCCAACAAUCCCGAAAACUUCGCCGACCUAAUUUUUGAGUAUGUUUGGCGGAAAAAUGUGGCCAACAGACACGAAGAUCCUUUCGUCAAAUUAUUAGAGGCAAUAAAAUUUAUAUACAAGCCUUAAUACACGUUUGUUUUUAUUAAAUUUAAAUGGUUUCUUUAUAUUUUAUGUUUUCCUUUCUCUUAUUUGGGGUAUAAUUUGUUUACUUAAUUUCUUUUAGUUAUUUUACACGUACAAAGGAGUUCUACGCGAAAAAAUUUGAUACACCCCGGUGUUGGACCGACCAGGGUGAUUUUUUUGAAGCGCGGCCGAAGGCCGCCCACGGAAAAAGGAGUUCUACGCGAAAAAAAUUUGAUACACCCCAGUGUUGGACCGACCAAGGUUAUUGUUUUUAUAGGUUGUUGAUUUUCGUAUUUGGGGUAUAAUCUCUUUCCUUUAUUUCAUUUAGUUAUUUUACAAAUGAUGUUGAUAAGGUAACACUGAUUAUAUGACAGUUUGUAAUUCAUUUGUUAUUCUUAAAUAAUCAAAUUCAACAAUAAUUUAAAUGUGUAUUAAAAGCUAUUUUUGCACUAUAUUAUAAAAAAUAAAUGUGUGCAAAUGAAUAAGUGAUGUGUUAGUGUAUAUAAAAGUGAAAAAUAUAAGUGCAAAAUUAAUUUUAUAUAUCGAAAAUAUGUAAUUAAAAUAUUGCAAAUUUUCAACUUAAAACGCGAAUAACUCGAAAACUAUAAGCUUCCUGCUUAUACCAUAUAUAUUCGUGAUCUGGAGAAUCUCCUCUAUCCGACCAUACCCAUUUUAUUCCCGAAAUCCUGGGAUGGUAUACUAAAUUCUUCCCAAAACAUGUAGCACCAUUAAGACUUAACGAAACUGUAUGGGCCAAAACGAAUGAACAGAAAGCUGUCGUAAACAACAAACGAUUGAAAUCCUCGUCAUUAGUAACACAAAGCUGAUGAAAUAAUGUAUCAUUCAAAGAGCUGUUGCGGAUUUUAUUGACUGCUUUGAUGACAUAUUGAGUGAUUGAAAUAUUUUUUCACUAAAGUUUCUAGCAACUAAAUGUUGUCUAUGAAUAACGCAAUGUACACCAAGGACAUCUGGAAUUUUAUUUUUUAAGUGCGCUAUUAAGCCUUUAUUGCACCCUAUCAUAGCCGGAGCGCCAUCCGUAGCAAUCGAAAUAAUAUUUUUCAAAGAAAUCUAUUUCUCAUCGCAAAACUUUUCCAAUAUAUUGAAUACGGUUUCGCCUUUUGUAUCGGUCUCUAAAUUUCUAGCAAAUAAUAGUUCUUCACAUAUUUUCAUCUUUAAUAAACCUUACGUAGGACAAGAACAAUGCUUCAUUAGUUGGUAAAGUGGACUCAUCGAGCUGAAUUGAGAAUUGGCUUGUCCUCAGGUGAUGAAUUAUUACUCAAAGGAAUUUUUCGGAUAAUAUCUGCGGCCGAAAUACGUUUAACUUUGUGAGUAGUGUAAAGGAGGCGUAAGUAAUGCUCAUCUAUUGCGCGCAAAACUACAAAUGAAUAUAAAAUAAAUAUUACAUUGUUUAUAUAGGAAUGCUUAUAAUUAUAACAAUUAUUAUAUAGUAGUCCAAAAAUAUGAAUUCUUAUUUUUCCUAGAAAUACAUUUGUAAAAAAAGGAUCUUUCUGCUUUUCGUAUUAUCUUAUUUUUCCCAGAAAUACAUUUGUAAGAAAAGAUAAAGCCCCUUUUUUAUUUUCCACAUAAAAGAUUUAAGGAGUUCAAAAGCUCAAAGCAUGCGCUACAUCAGCUCGAACCUACCUUCCCUACACCUUUGCGCAAAUGAUUAUAUUAUGAUAGCAAAUGCUCACAUACAGAUUUGGCAAUGGCAAUAGCAAUACGUUUGACAGUUAGUAUUCUAUAAAUUCUAUCCUGUUGAGAUGCCCCGUUAUGAAACGGAGCGACCGAUUGACAUGACUUACAUUUUUUCUAUAUUCAAUAAAAUAGGACAGAUAUAUGAACUACGCGGAGAGAAAUAUAGAACCGAGUUUGAGCAAUAUUUUAAUUCAUAUUAGUUGAUGUUCACAAGUUGUUGUUGAGAGUCGAGAGCUCAUGUAGUCGUUUUCUAAGAGGCCUCCUAGCUAAAUAAAAUUACAAAUAACUCCCCAGGCCUCUACACAACGCCCAUAUUUUCUUUUGGGUUUCUUACCGCCCCCCUUGACACCUGCAGCGCCCACAAGGUGGCGGGUGGAAACACUGGUCUAGACCAAUUUCAUUCAUAUUCAUUCGUUUAGCUACACUAUUUUUAAGAAAAUUUGUCCACUUAACCUAUCUAAUGGGUUACGAUAUUUCGAUAUUCUUAUUGUGGGUAUAUAAUGGUAUAACAGUGCAAGAAAUAUUAAUCUUAAUAUUUUAUCUGUUAUUGACACAAGAGUACUUUAUUGUAAAAAAAAAAACUCCCACAGCAUUUCGGUAUUAUAUCCCAUGUAUUAUAAUAUGUCAUCCAUGGUCUCUAGAGUGCAUAUAUUCGGUAGCCGGGGUCUUGAAAAGCUCUGGUCUGAUUUCGACAAUUCUAAAGAGUGGAAAUGGUCAGAUUAUGUCUAUCUACAAAACAAGCCUUCUUAGGAAAAGAAACAUGUACUCCAUGAUUUAUUAGUGUUAUUUCUUCUUUGUGCGUCACAAAAAAAGUCGCAUCGAGAGGUACGCUUUUAUACCCUGAACAGGGUAUAUUAAGUUUGUCACGAAGUUUGUACACCUAGAAGGAAGCGGCGGAGACCCUAUAAUAUGUAUAUAUAAAUGAUCUAUAUGUUGAGCUGAGUCGAUUUUGCCAUGUCCGUCUGUCUGUAUGUCCGUCCGUCCCUCGGUCUGUCUGUAUAUAAUAUAUACGAACUAGUCACACAGGAAUCAAUUUCUUGUAUGGAAACCUUUCACAUUUGACAAAGCAUCUUCACAAAAGUUGGCACAGGUAAUCUCCGAAGAAAUUGUUCAGAUCGGCUUACUAUGGCAUAUAGAUGCCAUACAAACUGAAUGAUCGGAAAAAAGUUCUCAUAUGGAAAACUUUUGCAUUUGACAAGAUAUAUUCACGAAAUAUGGCACAGAUUAUUUUCUAGAGCAACAAUGUAAUCUCCGAAGAAAUUGUUUAGAUAGGCUUUUUAUAGCAUAUAGCUGCCCUACAAACUGAAUGAUCGGAAAAAAGUUCUUGUAUGGAAAACUUUUGCAUUUGACAAGAUAUAUUCAGGAAAUUUGGUAUAGAUUAUUUGCUAAGGCAGCAAUGUAAUCUCCGAAGAAAUUGUUCAGAUCGGCUUACUAUAGCAUAUAGCUGCCAUACAAACCGAACGAUCGGAAUCAAGGGCUUGUAUGGAAAACUUUUGCAUUUGACGUGGUAUCUUCACGAAAUUUGACAUGGAUUACUGCUUAAGGUAAUAAUAUAAUCUCCGAAAAAAUUUUUCAGAUCGGAUUACUAUAGCAUAUAUCGUCCAUAUAAACUGAACACAUAGUUACUAAAAGAAAUGCACCUGUGAAGGGUAUAUUAGCUUCGGUACAGCCGAAGUUAACGUUUUUUCUUCUUUUUAAUUACAUUUUAAUUGUGUUUGGGCUUUGAAAGUUGCAACACUGAAAACUGUUACAAUAGGGUAAUUCAGAAUCUUUUGCAUCCGAGUUUGCAAAAUUAUGUAUUUCCAAAUAUUUACCAUCAACAAUGAACGUCAUUUUUGCGGUUCCUGCGCAAACCUUGCAAAGGCCAUUAUUUUACAUCUGAUCGGUGAAGAAAAAAAAUUGUUUGUAAACAAAAUUUUCGCACAAAUUGGAAAAUAUGAAAGAAAAAAAUUAUAGGAAAAAAUUAACUGACGCUUUAAUUUAUGAAGCUGCUGAAGAAAUUAUGGACAUUGAAGGUAGGAAAUAUUAAAAAGCGAUGAGGAAUUCAACAUAGCGUAAUCAUGUAAGCAAUUUUCGAUCGAAUUGCAAUCAGCAAUCACACUGUUUCGAUUGGGUACGUCGGGAGAAAGUGCAACAUAUAGAAAAAUAACGACAAAUUGGCGAAACGAUAUCGAUAAUAGCAAAAAGAAUCUUUGGAGUGUUCUUGCGUCACCAAUCUAAGUAUAUAUUGGGUUGUCAAAAAAGUCUUGCGGUAUUUUUAUUGAUUCAGUUCGUGUGGCACCCAUACAUCGAGCUUCUUUGUGACUCCAAGCUUCCUCAAAUGGUUUAUAACGGUUUGAUGACUACUAUGCCGGUCUCUUUCGACCAAUUCAGUGAUUUAAUCGCAAUUUUCGACGACAGGCCUUCCGGAGCGUGGCGCAUCUUCGACGACCUCUACACCAGAACGAAAACGUUGAAACCAUCGUUGUGCGGUGGAAAUGGAAACUGUAUCGGGUCCAUAAACUGCAUAAAUUUUAUUGGCGGCUUGAGAUGCAUUUUUGCCUUUAUCGUAGUAUUACUGUAAAAUAUGCCGUAUUUUCACUUUAUUUUGCUCCAUGUUUGCGACGCUAUAACUCACGAACGACUUAAAAGAAACUACAAUCAAUCAAACACGUGUUAGCGCGUGAAAUGAGCUUUCCAAAAAGGUAUAGCAUGACCAUGCGACGAAUAAAACUAGAACUACGCGCUUUCAGCGCCAACUAGCGACAAUACCGCAAGACUUUUUUGAUAACCUAAUAUGUGGCAACGCUGUAUUCACUGUUUAUGAGCAACCCUUUCCAAUUUUCACAAUACUAUCCUUUAGCAACGCUGUACUUCCUUUUUUCAUUCUAGUUGAAAGCAACUCGUUUCCCAUAAUCCUAUUAUUCUUCCCUUUUUCGACAAACCGUUGCACCGAACGUACGUGUUUACGGAUAACCUUUCACCUUGUAAAUUAAUAUUUAAGUAUUUCUAAAUAAACUGUAAAUAAAGCAAUAAACUUUCAAAGCUAGUGACCCCGAACAAGUGAAGCGAAUCAACAGAUGGAACAGCAAGGAGAAAGCACCGUACAGACAUCUCCGCCCGCGAUCAAACGCAGGCGCCUCAAAGCGUUCUGGCCAGAUCAGCAAUCGAAGUGCAUCAGCCCGAUCUCCACAUGCAUGCAGCAAUGGUUUCUCGCAUAAGACCGCCUAAUAUGAACGACACUAACAUUGGGUCUUAUUUUUUGUCCCUAGAAUUCUGAUUUGCUGCUACAGGUGUGAUCCACAACGAACGAAAAUACAAUCUGGUCAUGGCACGUUCCACCAAGCAAGCUAAUGGAGUUGAAGGUCAUAAUCGAUUCUACUCAUUACGACUACAUCAAAUGCAAACCUGUAGCUCAAUUCGUGGAUAGCCAACAGCGACGCGUAUAAUGCGUUCUUUCCGAUAUGCCAUUAGGUGACUUAAAACCAAGUCAACUGUUCAACGAAAUGCGCCAGGUGGUCAACACAGCACUUUGCGAGACAGUAAUCAUCGGCCUCUGGGUUUCGCGUCUACCUCCUCACGCUCAAGCUGCUGUGAUCACAUCAAAGGAUGACUUAGCAGAUAAUGAUGCUAUUGCAGACGCCAUCGCGGACUGCACGAAUUUUCGACAAAUUAACAUGAUAGGUAACCAAGCACCCGCAACAGGCACCCCCACGCAAACUAACAAUGAGUCGACCACGCUAGAGAAAUUAAGAAAGGAAAUCGCCCAACCAACGAGGCACAUCGAAUUCAUGAAAACGCACCGAUCACGAAGUCGCAGCCGAAGCAGACGGAGACAAGAACGAAGCACACACUAAGACUGCGCAAACGAAUUAUGCUGGUAUCACAGUAAAUUUGGGGUUAACGUUUGAGCUUGUAGGAAACACUGUUCUUACAAUAACAGGCAAAAGAGCGAAUAACAAUCCGAAACGAAAACAAUUUUUUAAUAGACACCGCGGCAGACGCUUGGGAAAUUCCCAAAACCACUCGAAGCAACAACAUGAAGCCAUCAACCGUUAAACUAUUUGCGGCAAACGGUACCCCAAUUACCGUAUAUAGCGAAGUACUUCCUUAAAUCAAUUUAGAUCUUAGGCGAAAAUUCCUUUGGAACUUCCUCAUCGCCGAGCGGAAAUAUUGGAGCCGACUUUAUAAGUCACUAUAGAAUGCUGACUUAAAAAAAAGGAUAAGUCGACAACAUAAUAUCAGUGACAUCGUAAGUAACAAUAAAUUAUCAAUAAAAACAUUGGACACGUCAUGUGCAUAUGUAAGCCUACUCAAGAGUUUAGCAAUUUAACACGCGCGACACAUCGUAAGUCGCGGCUUGGGCAUCUACCGCCUAUCGAACAGCAGUUGAGCCAGCCCUCUUCACAUGGUAAUGAAAGCAGACCUGGCAGGGCACUCAACAGUGUAACAGUUGCAGGCAGAUAUUCAACUCCAUGUCUGCACGACUUCACCUGUAAUUUAAAAGGAAAGACAAUCUUUUCAAUGAUCGAUCUGAAAAAAACCUUCCACCAAUGGAUGACAUCUGUGUAGCAUCAUCAUCCUUAGACAAAUACCUAACUCAUCUCCACCUCGACAAACCAAGUAAAGUCAAUGGUUUUAAACGAUUCUUAGCCACGAUAAGAAAAAACAAAUAAUCUGCGACACUCUGAAGUGUUACGAGCUACCCAUAGGUUAUGAUACCCAAGUACUCGUGCUAUAGCCAGACUACUGACUAGUAGAUUCGUUUGGCCUGGAAUUCAAAAAGACAGUACGUAUAUUGCAUUCGCAAAAUCAUGCAAACAAUUCCAAAAGGCAAAAAUCACUCGAAACACACUUACGCCUCUCAACCACUACGAGUCCGAGGAAUCGUGAUUCGAUCACAUUAAUAUCGACGUGGCAGAACCAUUUCCCUUACAUGCAGGUAACCGUUAUUGCCUAACAAUUAUCGUACGCUGCUCGAGAUGGACGGAAGCUAUUCCUAUACCCGAUAUGACAGCACCAACUAUCACAAAAGCUCUCAUGGCCAAUUGGAUCGCAAGAUUUGGAGUUCCAGCCGUAAUUACAUCAGAUCAUUUACAGAGAUGGCACCGAACGUUGAAGGCUGCAACUUUAUACAUUAACUCCGAACGUUGGACCGACUUUCUACCAACAAUACUCUUGGGCCUACGAACCGUCUACAAACAAGACUUAGGAGCGUCACCGGCAAAAUUAAUCAAUGCUGUGAAUUCCAUUAGAACUUUUUUCGUACACGACAGGCGAUUUGAAAUACAGUCAGAAUUCGUUACUCAACUCCGAGACUUAAUGAACACCAUCAGGCCAUCCACUACAUCAUGCCAUGGUUCAAGGAAUGAAUUUGUAUAUCCCGAUCUUGCGACGUGCGAAAACGUUUUCGUCAGAAAUGACUCAGUGCGCCUAUCUUUUUCAAAACCAUACGAAGGACCUUAUAAGGUUUAGAAAAAUAUUUCUAUAGACCGAUUAAAGCCAGCAUAUCUACCGAAUGACGACUUAUGCCACAAACUCACAGAACCUUAUCAACUGGAGCAGAACGUCAACAAGUAUCUUUCGUUAUAUUUUAGGCACGAUCUAAACCGUUCACCCAGUCUGGAGGGGGAUACUGUGGCAACGCUGUAUUCACUGCUUAUAAGCAACCCUUUGCUACUUUCAUAAUACUAUCCUUUAGCUACGCUGUACUACCUUUUUUUAUUCUAGUUGUAAGCAACCCGUUUCUCAGAAUCCUAACUUUCUCCCUUUUUUCAUCGUACCGAACGGACGGGUUCACGGACAGCCUUUCACCUUGUAAAAUAGUUUUUAAGUAUUUCUAAAUAAACUAUAAAUAAGGCAAUAAACUUUAAAAUAUAUAUUGUGCCGAUGAGAUUGAACGAUCGAAAAUAGUGUCGGAUAGCUUUGAUGAGUUGCCGUUUUAUAUUAUAUAUUGAUGGAACCUAGAUUAAAUUGGCAGAAUCCCCAAUCGAAGACCAUGCAUCAUACUUCUCCAGAAAUAACAUAUAUUCAAUAAAAUCUACUUUGUGACUAUAAACGAGUAAUUCGACAUGUUGUGGUUGGUCGCCCUGAAAGCUCUCUCUGUAAGCAAAAUGAGCACUGUCUUUCUUCACAGCAAUGGAUUGCUGGGGAUUCGGCAUACCUUUUGUCUGCAACGUUAAUAAACCUCUACAGAAGCAACUAAAGAUAGUUGAAUAGCAACGCCAAAAUUGCAUUUAAUUUACGGCACAGCAAAUACCAGGUUAGAGUAGAGCAUUAUUUUGGGCCUUUGAAAGAAAGAUUUGGAAGCCUAAAGCAGCUGCUCUAUUUUAUACAACAUUUAAAUUAUAACGGGUCCACUUCGUUCGACGACGUUUCAGAUCCGUCAAUCACUACGGAAGAUUCUAUUGAACCAGAUGACCAUAUACCCAACAAUGUUGGAGAAAUUAAAAUACAACCAUAUACACAUUAAUGUUUUCUUAAAUGCAUUUUAAUUUAUUUGUCAGUUUUAAAUUACAUAUAUUUAUACAUUACAUAAAACUUUUCUAUACAAAAUACAUAUGUGGUUAUUUUAAUUUAAGUGAAAAAGAUAACGCUUUGAGUGAUGGAAGAUAGCAAUUUAACCGUAUUUAAUAAGUAUAAUACAAAUAUAAAGAAAUUCUUGUUGAGAGGAAUACGUAUAGUUCAUCUCAAUUUGGAACUUUUCCUUCUUUUCAAUUUAAAGUUUUUUCAAUCUUUCAUUAUUCCAAUUCUAACAUUUUUAAAUCCAACUCACGGUUCUUGAAUUCCAUUUUAGUUUUACCUCUUUCAAUUUCUGAUUGCAAUCUUCUUUCACCCAAAGCGUGAUCUUUUUAAUGUUUCUCUUUUUCCCAUUCCUUUUUCAUUUUAAACAUUUCUCUACGCUCGACUUAAAAAGCAACAAGAUUUGCAGCAGACGACUUUGGAACAUGUAAUUUAAUUUUUUCCGCGAGAUCUUUGGUUUUUUCUGAAAUAAAUAUUUCACUGACAUUGCCUGGUGGCAGUUUUCAUUGUUGGAAAUGUCAAUUGGAGACGCAAUUUCUCGCCGACAUCAGAAAAAGUGGUUUCAUUCACUAUGGACGUGCUACCACUAACAACCACUUCAAACGGCAAUUCACUUGUGGAUUUUGCACCAAAAAUAUAUUUCAGUUGAUUGAAGUGUGGGCACAUCUGCAACACUUUGCCUGAAAUAUAAACAUUAGACAAAGUUUCUUCGCAUUCAUUACGCUUACCUUCAACACUCGACGUCCCAGCAUCGGACUCGAGAAGGCCUACUCCUGUUAACAACCGCCAAUCGCUUGCUUUUUUAAUGAAGCCUUCAGGUACCGCACUUUCCAGCGAAUAAGAUCUAUUCCGGUUUUAUCAAUUAACUUUUUGUAAAAUAAUGGAGAUGUUGGUGCCUAUUAAAAUUAAAAUUAUUGUUAAAUAAGUGCUCGCAGCAAAAUUUUCAUUUACCUCUACUUUAGGAGCUAUAUAUUCUGUUAGUGUAAAAGCAAAAAAAUGCUGUCUAAUUUGCAAUUGCAAGGAUGCAAGACCAUUUGCACCAGAUUCUGAAUUGCUCUAAUUACAUUUUUAACGCACAUUCCAAGUAUUGUUUGUCAAAAAACACAUUGAAGUGGGAAUAACUUUUGAUAUCAUUCGUUUUAUUUUGGUGAGUUAGAGUUUUAGAUUAAUUUUAAGUGUAUUGUGUGAUAGCUAAUUAAAAAAACUCUAAUAUCAAUUUUAUGUAGUUGGUUUAAUCGAAGAUUUAAUUAAAACAUAUAAUUAAUUUUUUUUUAA